CUACGGGUUGCUGCAGUCAAGAAUAUUCCACAAUGGACGAAAGUCUGAUGGAGCGACGCCGCGUGCAGGAAGACGCCCUUCGGGGUGUAAACUGCUUUUAUAAGGGAAGAAUUUGUGACGGUACCUUAUGAAUAAGAGGUUGCUAACUCUGUGCCAGCAGCAGCGGUAAUACAGAGACCUCAAACGUUAUCCGGAUUCAUUGGGCGUAAAGCGUCCGCAGGUGGUUUGGGAAGUCAAUGGUCAAAUCUUCGGGCUUAACUCGAAGACUGCCACCGAUACUCCCAGACUAGAGGCUGGAAGAGGCAAGCGGAAUUCUCGGUGUAGUCGUAAUAAGCGCUGAUAUCGAGAAGAACUCCAAAGGCGAAGGCAGCUUGCUGGUACAUGCCUGACACUCAUGGACGAAAGCGUGGGGAGCGAAGGGGAUUAGAUACCCUCGUAGUC
rnacentral:rRNA from 1 species